rnacentral:rRNA from 1 species
UAUUGCACAAUGGGGGAAACCCUGAUGCAGCGACGCAGCGUGAGUGAAGAAGUAUUUCGGCACGUAAAGCUCUAUCAGCAGGGAAGAAAAUGACGGUACCUGACUAAGAAGCUCCGGCUAACUACGUGCCAGCAGCCGCGGUAAUACGUAGGGGGCAAGCGUUAUCCGGAUUUACUGGGUGUAACGGGAGCGUAGACGGCAGCGCAAGUCUGGAGUGAAAUGCCGGUGCCCAACCCCGGAACUGCUUUGGAAACUGUGCAGCUCGAGUGCAGGAGAGGUAAGCGGAAUUCCUAGUGUAGCGGUGAAAUGCGUAGAUAUUAGGAGGAACACCAGUGGCGAAGGCGGCCUGCUGGACGGUGACUGACGCUGAGGCUCGAAAGCGUGGGGAGCA